GCGUCGAUGGUUUAGUGGUAAAAUUAACCGGUCAGAUCAAUUAUUCAACUGUACAAACAAGCAUCUUCUAACAGAAAGCAGUUGCCAAUGUGUUUACUCACAAAGUCUCGGUUAGCCCCGGGUUCGAUUCCCGGUCGACGCA